UACGUAGGUGGCAAGCGUUGUUCGGAUUUACUGGGCGUAAAGGGCGCGUAGGCGGCCACCGCAAGUCGACUGUGAAAUCUCCGGGCUUAACUCGGAAAGGUCAGCCGAUACUGCGGGGCUAGAGUGCAGAAGGGGCAACUGGAAUUCUCGGUGUAGCGGUGAAAUGCGUAGAUAUCUGGAGGAACACCGGUGGCGAAGGCGGCAUCCUGGACCGACACUGACGCUGAGGAGCGAAAGCCAGGGGAGCAAAGCGGG
rnacentral:rRNA from 1 species